AAAAAUUUAGUUAAAUAAAUAACAUUAGCUUGUCAAGCUAAAAUUAUUCCUCAGAAUAAUUUUUA
rnacentral:tRNA from 1 species